rnacentral:rRNA from 1 species
UACGUAGGGUGCGAGCGUUAAUCGGAAUUACUGGGCGUAAAGCGUGCGCAGGCGGUUUUGUAAGCCAGAUGUGAAAUCCCCGGGCUCAACCUGGGAAUGGCAUUUGGGACUGCAAGGCUGGAGUGCGGCAGAGGAGACUGGAAUUCCUGGUGUAGCAGUGAAAUGCGUAGAUAUCAAGUGGAACACCAGUGGCGAAGGCGAGUCUCUGGACAUUUCCUGACGCUGAGGCGCGAAAGCUAGGGGAGCGAACAGG